rnacentral:rRNA from 1 species
AUUGAACGCUGGCGGCAGGCCUAACACAUGCAAGUCGAACGGUAACAGGAAGAAGCUUGCUUCUCUGCUGACGAGUGGCGGACGGGUGAGUAAUGUCUGGGAAACUGCCUGAUGGAGGGGGAUAACUACUCGAAACGGUAGCUAAUACCGCAUAACGUCGCAAGACCAAAGAGGGGGAGCUUCGGGCCUCGUGCCAUCGGAGGGGACAAGAUGGGAUUAGCUCGUUGGUGGGGUAACGGCUCACCAAGGCGACGAUCCCUAGCUGGUCUGAGAGGAUGACCAGCCACACUGGAACUGAGACACGGUCCAGACUCCUACGGGAGGCAGCAGUGGGGAAUAUUGCACAAUGGGCGCAAGCCUGAUGCAGCCAUGCCGCGUGUAUGAAGAAGGCCUUCGGGUUGUAAAGUACUUUCAGCGGGGAGGAAGGGAGUAAAGUUAAUACCUUUGCUCAUUGACGUUACCCGCAGAAGAAGCACCGGCUAACUCCGUGCCAGCAGCCGCAGUAA